CUCAUGUUUCACUUACCCAAAAUAAUUCAUAUAAAAGAAAGGAGGACCACAGAAAAGCGAGAUAUCAUUCCUCACUCUCUCUUCGCAACAACGCUUUGGACACUCUCCCUGGUCGAGCACUCUGAUAGAAGAAAUCAUGGUUUUGAAAAGAGAAGGAAACGCCAUUGCCAUGAUGAUUGCGAAGAAACAGAUCCACACACUGAAGGCAGUCUGGAACUCCGUGAAGGAGCAGGAGAAGAAACUGAAGGACAUUCAGGCGAGGGUAGAGCUCACACGGAUGAUGAUACACGGGGCUAGAUCGGUGCUCAGAGACGACGACACACAUGACAAAGCUGACAAGUAAUGCACCGAGAAGCAUAACAGCGAGGUUUGAGACAAGACAGCGGUGAUCAUGAGACGUCUGGUUUCGACGAGAUCGAGCAUCAAGACACAUCACAGCAGAUCUCACUACGUCAUCCCUGACGUGGCCCCAUCCUGAUGCGUCAUAGCUAUCACGUGAUGGUGUACACCCAACAAUCUAUUCUGUGAAUAGUCAAAAUGACAAACAUACUUUUGUUUUGUCACUACGUAUUUGUUUUAAGUUACAUUGAUAUUGUUCAACAAAAUUCAAUAACAUAUGAAUGGCAAUGUUGAUACACCCUCAUGCAGGAGUCUAUUCUGUGAAUUGUUCGCAUGACGAUAUUACUUCUGUCUAGAACGCCAAAGAAUAGUGACUUUUGUUUUGUCAUGAUUUAUCUUGUUCAACGCAAGUUUCUUACAAAAUUCAAUAAUGCAAGGAUGGUAUUGUUGACAAACUCUAGAGAACCCGUCUUAUAGAUAUUCAGAAUGACGAUAUUGCUUACGUUUUGUUUUAAUCUAGUUGGAACAUGUUGAUGACAACUCUCACAGCAACGAACAUAUCACUUGUCAAAAUGUCCAGAAACUUUGAUUUUUCUUUGAAGGCCUGAAGUAUUAUAGUGCUCGGAUGUUACUAUUUUUAUCUAUAAAUGUAGAUGGCUCAAAACAUUGGCCAAACUCAAUCAACUUAUUUUAAGUAAUGACUUAACUUAAAGGCAA